rnacentral:rRNA from 1 species
GACGAACGCUGGCGGCGUGCUUAACACAUGCAAGUCGAGCGGUAAGGCCCUUUCGGGGGUACGACGAGCGGCGAACGGGUGAGUAACACGUGGGUGACCUGCCCUCAGCUCUGGGAUAAGACCUGGGAAACCGGGGUCUAAUACCGGAUAUGACUCCAUGACGCAUGUUGUGGGGUGGAAAGCCUUGUGCGGCUGAGGAUGGGCCCGCGGCCUAUCAGCUUGUUGGUGGGGUGAUGGCCUACCAAGGCGACGACGGGUAGCCGGCCUGAGAGGCGACCGGCCACACUGGGACUGAGACACGGCCCAGACUCCUACGGGAGGCAGCAGUGGGGAAUCUUGCGCAAUGGGCGAAAGCCUGACGCAGCGACGCCGCGUGAGGGAUGACGGCC